rnacentral:rRNA from 1 species
UACAGAGGGUGCAAGCGUUAAUCGGAAUUACUGGGCGUAAAGCGUGCGUAGACGGUUAUGUAAGUCAGAUGUGAAAUCCCCGGGCUCAACCUGGGAAUUGCAUUUGUGACUGCACGGCUAGAGUGUGUCAGAGGGGGGUAGAAUUCCACGUGUAGCAGUGAAAUGCGUAGAGAUGUGGAGGAAUACCGAUGGCGAAGGCAGCCCCCUGGGAUAACACUGACGCCUCAUGCACGAAAGCGUGGGGAGCAAACAGG